rnacentral:rRNA from 2 species
AGUUGGGCACUCUAAGGUGACUGCCGGUGACAAACCGGAGGAAGGUGGGGAUGACGUCAAAUCAUCAUGCCCCUUAUGACCUGGGCUACACACGUGCUACAAUGGACGGUACAAAGAGCUGCAAGACCGCGAGGUGGAGCUAAUCUCAUAAAACCGUUCUCAGUUCGGAUUGUAGGCUGCAACUCGCCUACAUGAAGCUGGAAUCGCUAGUAAUCGCGGAUCAGCAUGCCGCGGUGAAUACGUUCCCGGGCCUUGUACACACCGCCCGUCACACCACGAGAGUUUGUAACACCCGAAGUCGGUGGGGUAACCUUUUUGGAGCCAGCCGCCUAAGGUGGGACAGAUGAUUGGGGUGAAGUCGUAACAAGGUAGCCGUAUCGGAAGGUGCGGCUGGAUCACCUCCUUUCUAUGGAGA